UCAGAAAAUAGUUUACCAAAAACAGUAACUUUGGGAGUUACAGACUUAGCGUCGCUAAUUUUCCGAA
rnacentral:tRNA from 1 species